rnacentral:rRNA from 1 species
CACGCCGUAAACGAUGAAUACUAGGUGUCGGGGUCCAAAAGGACUUCGGUGCCGCAGCUAACGCAAUAAGUAUUCCACCUGGGGAGUACGUUCGCAAGAAUGAAACUCAAAGGAAUUGAC